UACGAAGGGAGCUAGCGUUGUUCGGAAUUAUUGGGCGUAAAGGGCGCGUAGGCGGUCUUUCAAGUUAGAAGUGAAAUGCCAGGGCUUAACCCUGGAACUGCUUUUAAGACUGAGAGGCUAGAGUUCGGUAGAGGAUAGUGGAAUUCCAAGUGUAGAGGUGAAAUUCGUAGAUAUUUGGAGGAACACCAGUGGCGAAAGCGACUAUCUGGACCGUUACUGACGCUGAGGCGCGAAAGCGUGGGGAGCAAACAGG
rnacentral:rRNA from 1 species